CCUACGGGUGGCAGCAGUCGAGAAUCAUUCACAAUGGGGGAAACCCUGAUGGUGCGACGCCGCGUGGGGGAAUGAAGGUCUUCGGAUUGUAAACCCCUGUCAUGUGGGAGCAAAUUAAAAAGAUAGUACCACAAGAGGAAGAGACGGCUAACUCUGUGCCGGCAGCCGCGGUAAUACAGAGGUCUCAAGCGUUAUGCGGAACCACUGGGCGUAAAGGGUGCGUAGGCGGUUUCGUAAGUCGUUGGUGAAAGGCGCGGGCUCAACCCGCGGACGGCACAUGAUACUGGGAGACUAGAGUAAUGGAGGGGGAACCGGAAUUCUCGGUGUAGCAGUGAAAUGCGUAGAUAGCGAGAGGAACACUCGUGGCGAAGGCGGGUUCCUGGACAUUAACUGACGCUGAGGCACGAAGGCCAGGGGAGCGAAAGGGAUUAGAUACCCGGGUAGUC
rnacentral:rRNA from 1 species